AUUUAGGUAGCGCCUCGUGAACUCAUCUUCGGGGGUAGAGCACUGUUUCGGCUAGGGGGCCAUCCCGGCUUACCAACCCGAUGCAAACUACGAAUACCGAAGAAUGUUAUCACGGGAGACACACGGCGGGUGCUAACGUCCGUCGUGAAGAGGGAAACAACCCAGACCGCCAGCUAAGGUCCCAAAGUCAUGGUUAAGUGGGAAACGAUGUGGGAAGGCACAGACAGCCAGGAUGUUGGCUUAGAAGCAGCCAUCAUUUAAAGAAAGCGUAAUAGCUCACUGGUCGAGUCGGCCUGCGCGGAAGAUGUAACGGGGCUAAACCAUGCACCGAAGCUGCGGCAGCGACACUUAUGUGUUGUUGGGUAGGGGAGCGUUCUGUAAGCCGUUGAAGGUGUGCUGUGAGGCAUGCUGGAGGUAUCAGAAGUGCGAAUGCUGACAUAAGUAACGAUAAAGCGGGUGAAAAGCCCGCUCGCCGGAAGACCAAGGGUUCCUGUCCAACGUUAAUCGGGGCAGGGUGAGUCGACCCCUAAGGCGAGGCCGAAAGGCGUAGUCGAUGGGAAACAGGUUAAUAUUCCUGUACUUGGUGUUACUGCGAAGGGGGGACGGAGAAGGCUAUGUCAGCCGGGCGACGGUUGUCCCGGUUUAAGCAUGUAGGCGGAGGUUCCAGGUAAAUCCGGUACCUUGUUAACGCUGAGGUGUGAUGACGAGGCACUACGGUGCUGAAGUGAUAAAUGCCCUGCUUCCAGGAAAAGCCUCUAAGCAUCAGGUAACACGAAAUCGUACCCCAAACCGACACAGGUGGUCAGGUAGAGAAUACCAAGGCGCUUGAGAGAACUCGGGUGAAGGAACUAGGCAAAAUGGUGCCGUAACUUCGGGAGAAGGCACGCUGAUGUGUAGGUGAAGCCCCUGCGGGCGGAGCUGAAAUCAGUCGAAGAUACCAGCUGGCUGCAACUGUUUAUUAAAAACACAGCACUGUGCAAACACGAAAGUGGACGUAUACGGUGUGACGCCUGCCCGGUGCCGGAAGGUUAAUUGAUGGGGUAAGCUGUAAGGCGAAGCUCUUGAUCGAAGCCCCGGUAAACGGCGGCCGUAACUAUAACGGUCCUAAGGUAGCGAAAUUCCUUGUCGGGUAAGUUCCGACCUGCACGAAUGGCGUAAUGAUGGCCAGGCUGUCUCCACCCGAGACUCAGUGAAAUUGAACUCGCUGUGAAGAUGCAGUGUACCCGCGGCAAGACGGAAAGACCCCGUGAACCUUUACUAUAGCUUGACACUGAACACUGGUCCUUGAUGUGUAGGAUAGGUGGGAGGCUUUGAAGCGUGGACGCCAGUCUGCGUGGAGCCGUCCUUGAAAUACMACCCUUUAAUGGCUGGUGUUCUAACGUAGACCCGUAAUCCGGGUUGCGGACAGUGUCUGGUGGGUAGUUUGACUGGGGCGGUCUCCUCCCAAAGAGUAACGGAGGAGCACGAAGGUUGGCUAAUCCUGGUCGGACAUCAGGAGGUUAGUGCAAUGGCAUAAGCCAGCUUGACUGCGAGCGUGACGGCGCGAGCAGGUGCGAAAGCAGGUCAUAGUGAUCCGGUGGUUCUGAAUGGAAGGGCCAUCGCUCAACGG
rnacentral:rRNA from 1 species